rnacentral:rRNA from 1 species
GACGAACGCUGGCGGCGUGCUUAACACAUGCAAGUCGAACGGAAAGGCCCUGCUUUUGUGGUGUACUCGAGUGGCGAACGGGUGGGUAACACGUGAGUAACCUACCCGUGACUUUGGGAUAACUUCAGGAAACUGGGGCUAAUACCUAAUACGAGCUCCUGCUGCAUGGUGUGGGUUGGAAAGUUUCGGCGGUUGGGGAUGGACUCGCGGCUUAUCAGCUUGUUGGUGGGGUAGUGGCUUACCAUGGCUUUGACGGGUAGCCGGCCUGAGAGGGUGACCGGCCACAUUGGGACUGAGAUACGGCCAAGAGUCCUACGGGCGGCAGCAGUGGGGAAUAUUGGACAAAGGGCGGAAGCCUGAUGCAGGAACGCCGCGUGCGGGAUGACGGCCUUCGGGUUGUAAACGGCUUUCGCCGGUGACGAAGAGUGAGUGACGGUAAUGGGUAAAGAAGCAACGGCUAACUACGUG